CCUACGGGUGGCUGCAGUGGGGAAUAUUGGACAAUGGGCGAAAGCCUGAUCCAGCCAUGCCGCGUGUGUGAAGAAGGCCUUCGGGUUGUAAAGCACUUUCAGUGGGGAAGAAAGCCUUGGGGCUAAUACCCUCGAGGAAGGACAUCACCCACAGAAGAAGCACCGGCUAACUCCGUGCCAGCAGCCGCGGUAAUACGGAGGGUACGAGCGUUAAUCGGAAUUACUGGGCGUAAAGCGCGCGUAGGCGGUCUGAUAAGCCGGUUGUGAAAGCCCCGGGCUCAACCUGGGAACGGCAUCCGGAACUGUCAGGCUAGAGUGCAGGAGAGGAAGGUAGAAUUCCCGGUGUAGCGGUGAAAUGCGUAGAGAUCGGGAGGAAUACCAGUGGCGAAGGCGGCCUUCUGGACUGACACUGACGCUGAGGUGCGAAAGCGUGGGUAGCAAACAGGAUUAGAUACCCCUGUAGUC
rnacentral:rRNA from 1 species